UUUUUUUUUUUUUUUUUACUCAAUAGAUGUGUUUGUUUGGGUAGACUUGUUUCGAGUAGGGAAAGAUUUAAGCUCUUCCCCUCCAACUAUCUCUUGCUACAGCUAUAUGCUAAGUUUUGUGUAAUAGUAGUGGUAGUUUUUACAAGUCAAAAAUAACCAGAGAAUCUCAAUGCGGAAUUAUUUUAAAAGGAACUUAUCCUAAGGUCUAAUCGGUCAAAAUCACACAAGCUUCCUCUUUAUGACAAUGCAACAACUGGAUCAUUAUUACCAUAGCAGUGAUGAAUGCCAAGCCGUGUGCUACUCGGUUUAUAAUAGUUUUCUCCUUAACUAUUCACAACUGUCCUCUGUGAUAGUUAUUAUGAUGUUUCCCACCAUUUUAUUUUAUUUUUUUAUUUUAUUUUGUCUUUUUAGGGCCGCACCCACAGCACAUGGAGGUUCCCAUAUGGAGGUUGAAUACGGCUAGCCUAUGCCAUAGCCUCAGCAACACCAGGUCCAAGCUGUGUCUGCGACCUACACCACAGCUCACAGCAACACCAGAUCUUUAACCCACUGAGUGCGGCCAGGGAUCGAACCUACAUCCUCAUGGACACUAAUCAGAUUCCUUUGCGCUGAGCUACAAUGUGUACUCCUAUAUCCCCCACUUUAGAAAGAAAAUGCCUCAGAAAUAUUGUUACCUUGCCCAAAGUCACACAGUCUAUAAGUAGCUGAGUCAAAAUUCCAAACAAACUCACCCAGACUCUCAACUAUUAAUCAGUAGAUCAGUGGUUCUGAAAGUGUGGUUUCUGAACUACUAGGGGGUCACUAGACUAUCUCAGGACUUCACAAGGUCCAAAGGAUAUUUAUAUUGAUGUUAAGAUAUCAUUUGCCUUUUUUUACUGAGUUAACACUUUCACUGAUGGUGCAGAAGUAAUCCUGGGUUAAAAUGAUGGUACCUUAGCAGGAACCAAGGCGGUAAAUUAGACUAAACUAGUAAUCAUUGCAUUUCAAACUCACAUACUGGUAGCAAAACAACAUCCAUUUCCCUUAAGAUUAUCCUUGAUGAAGUAGUAAAUGUUAUGAAUUUUAUUUAAUCUUGACUUUUGAAUGACAUUUUUUUAAAUUUUGUGUCAUCAAAUGUGAAUGACAAAGAAAGUGAUUCUUCUACCUAAGGAAAUGCAAUGGCUCUCUCAAAGAAAAAUGCUUAUAUGAUGGUGUUGUAAGCUGAACUAGAUGCUUUUUCGUAGAUGUCCAUUUUUAUCUGAUUAAAAAAAAAACCUGACAAACGAUGAUAUUUUAUACUUGGCUACUUGGUAGGCAGUUGUUCCCAAAUUGACAAAGUAAACCCGUCACAUCAAAAAGAACAACUGACACCACUUGUGACCUAUGGUCACAUUUGAUCUUUCAAGAAAAAAUUAGAAUUUUAGAAGACGGUGUUCACCACAGUGAGCUUGACAGCUUCCCAAUACUUAAAGAAUUUUACGACUAGAUAGGUGAUGAUAGUAAUAAAUGUGGUUUUUUGAUGUAGGAAAGUGUGUCAAUAGUUAGAAGAUCUAUAUAACUCAGUGAACCUACAUUUUCCAAAUGACCAACCCACGUUUUGACAAAAUCAUACGUGGGGAAAAGAGCAAAGGGCCAGCUACACCAGUGCCUUGUAAUGUCCCAGGUGAGAAAAGCUCCUGCCGUGGUUUCAGACUCCACAUUGCAGGUAAACUUUAAGACACUUCUACUUGAACAGCUUUCAUACAUCCGCAAUUAAGAAGAUAAUUAAAAUAUGACUACACCACCUCCCUUCAAAUUAUGUAUCUGUGUGUGGGAAUUUUUUUUUUCUGUACCUAAAAUCAUGUAUCUCUACAGACUGAAUGAAAAACAGAUAUGAGAAUCCAGCUCUCUACCAUUAAACCAGAGAAAUGUAACAUGAUGCUAAUCUUCUCAUUAAAUUCUAUUGAAAAAUAUUUUCAUACAACUGCGUUUUUUACGUUAACAUGUAACACAUUUACUGUUGCUUUUUGUUUUUGUUUUUUGCUUUUUAGAGCUGCAUCUGUGGCAUACAGAGGCUAGGGGUCGAAAUGGAGUUGCAGCUGCCACCUGCGCCACAGUCACAGCCACAGCAACACGGGAUCUGAGCUGUUUCUGCGACCUACACCACAGCUCACAGUAAUGCCAGAUCCCUGACCCACUGAGCGAGGCCAGAGAUCGAACCCACGUCUUUAUGGAUACUAGUCAGAUUCGUUGCCGCUGAGCCAUGAUGUGAACUUCCUACUGUUGUUAUUUCUAAGUGCAUUAAUAACUGUUCUGAAUUGUUCUGUAUUAUUUUAUUAAUACAUAUAAUACCCAUAAACAGAAGCUUAUUUGGGAGCCUCAGUAAUUUUAUAAGAAUAUAAAAGUGGACACCAAAUAUUCUGAGAACUGUUGUACUCAAUUAUCUCAACCCCUGCCAGAUGUAAGUUUCUAUAUCUUUGGUUGAAUACUUCCAGUGAUGGUAACUUCUACUACCUCUUAAGAAAUUUCAUCAUAUUUUAAAACCAAUUGGUAGUUCCCACUGUGAUGCAGCGGAAACAAAUCAGACUAGUAUCCAUGAGAAUGUGGGUACAAUCCCUGGCCUCACUCAGUGAGUUGAGGAUCUGGCAUUGCUAUUAGCUAUGGUAUAGGAUGCAGAUGUACCUGGGAUCCCAUGUUGCUGUGGCUGUGGUGUCGGCUGUUACCUAUAACUCUGUUUCAAACCCUAGCCUGGGAACGCCUAUAUGCUGCCAUGGCCCUAAACAUCAAAAAUAAAAUUAAAAUAAUAGAAUAGAAUAGAACCAAUCAAAUUAUAACUUUGACUUCUAUCCAUUGGUCGUGGUACCACUGAAAUCACAUAAAGAAUAGCUAAUCCCUCUGUUUUAAGACAGACCUUAAAAACUGUAAGACUCUUAAAGUAUUAAUUUAAAAAUAAGCUAUGAAUCCACCAAUCUGUACUUUCAUCUAACAUUUAUUUCUCUAUCUUAUUCAUAAGGAUACGGAGAGAUUUUAUCAAUCGUCUCUCCAAAAUGCAGUCAAACAAGGAAACAAUUUUUUCCUCAUCUGCCUGUGAAGGAAUCCUAGGGAAGAGAAUUAUGAAGUAAGUCUGCUACCAUGUCUUCUCAGAGAUGCCAUGCUGGUUCCUGGAAAUAUAACUUCUUUCACUAAUUGCUCACAAGCCACCCAUGCUUGAAGCUUGAAUGAGAUCUGACAUACUUACCAGAAAACUAUAGCAACCAAAACAAACAAAAAAAUUAUACCUGACCAAGUACUUACGAAUCUAAGUUAUAUUUUGUGCAUGUGAAUGUAUAUGAUACAGCUUACUGCAGCAUCAUCUUUAAUUAGACUGUUGAGGAAAACACUAGCCUUAGAAGUAAGCACACCUUGCUUUGCCUUCAUCUUGGCCAUAUAUAGAUUUUUUUCUGAUUUUAAGUUCUCUUAAUUUUUUUAAAAAAAUCUUGAAUUAGGAGUUCCCAUUGUGGCUCACUGGGUUAAGAACCCGAUGCAGUGUGUCCAUGAGGAUGCAGGUUUAAUCCUUGCCUCGCUCGGUGAGUUAAGGAUCCAGCAUUAUCACAACCUGUGGCAUAGAUCACAAAUGCAGCUUGUAUCUGUUGUUGCUGUGGCUGUGGCAAAGGCCUCGGCUGCAGCUCCAGUUCAACCCC
rnacentral:lncRNA from 1 species